rnacentral:rRNA from 1 species
UACAGAGGGUGCAAGCGUUAAUCGGAAUUACUGGGCGUAAAGCGUGCGUAGACGGUAGCGUAAGUCAGAUGUGAAAGCCCCGGGCUCAACCUGGGAACUGCAUUUGAGACUGCUCUGCUCGGGUGCGGAAGAGGGAAGCGGAGUUUCCGGUGUAGCGGUGAAAUGCGUAGAUAUCGGAAGGAACACCUGUGGCGAAAGCGGCUCACUGGACCACAACUGACGCUGAGGCGCGAAAGCUAGGGGAGCAAACAGG